rnacentral:lncRNA from 1 species
AUUGGCACUGUCUUCUGAAGCCACCUCGAGCUUACUCACCUUUGCAGAAUUUAGCUACAGUAACUCCUCCCAGGUGAACAGGCCCAGUGGGAAGACCAAAGUUUUAAUCUCAGUGUCUGACAUUGUUUCCCCUGAACGCCAAACAGAUGAUCACAAAUUUGUGGAACACAAUCCAACAAUAACUGGGAGACUACCUACAUA